GGGCGGGUAGCUCAGUGGCAAGAGCGUUCGCCUUACACGCGAAAGGUCGGAGGUUCGAAUCCUCCCCCGCCCA
rnacentral:tRNA from 1 species